ensembl:ncRNA lncRNA:CR45250 long non-coding RNA:CR45250
GACAAAUGCCGAUUUCAGCACUCAUCGGCAUCGGACGGCAAUUGUUUAUAAACGAUUGGACAAGGUCAAAAGCUGUUAAUUAAACAGAUGGAUGCCAAUACAUUGAACGGCAGGGGGCAUCGCUAUGAGUUGCCUUUAAUUACGAUCCCCCACAGGCCGUCGGCUGGAGUCCGGCAAUUAUUCAAUCCCGCAUCGCUGGUCCAGCCUAAAUAAUGUUGUAAUUUACAAAAGUCCCAGAGAGAAAUAGAAACGAACGAAAAAUCAACAGAAAAUCAAGAGAAAAUCUCUGUGUUUCCUUCGAUAAAUAUCGACGCGUUUGGGGCGAGAUGUAAAAUAAAUAGUG